rnacentral:rRNA from 1 species
AGCGAACGUUCGCGGCGCGCCUAACACAUGCAAGUCGCACGAGAAAGGGCUUCGGCCCCAGUAAAGUGGCGCACGGGUGCGUAACACGUAGGCAAUCUUCCCUAGAGCGGGGGAUAACGUUCCGAAAGGAACGCUAAUACCGCAUAAGACCACGUCUACUUCGGUAGAUGAGGUAAAAGCCGGCCUCUUCUUGAAAGCUGGCACUUUAGGUCGAGCCUGCGGCCCAUCAGCUAGUUGGUAAGGUAACGGCUUACCAAGGCAAAGACGGGUAGCUGGUCUGAGAGGAUGAUCAGCCACACUGGCACUGAAACACGGGCCAGACUCCUACGGGAGGCAGCAGUGGGGAAUCUUGGUCAAUGGGCGCAAGCCUGAACCAGCGACGCCGCGUGAGUGAUGAAGGCCUUCGGGUUGUAAAGCUCUGUGGGUAGGGAAGAAAAAAGCGGGCGCGAAUAGCUCCCGCUCUUGACGGUACCUACUUAGCAAGCACCGGCUAACUCUGUG